AAGACAGAGAAAGAGAGAGAGAGAGAGAGAGAGAGAGAGAAAGGGGGGGGGAGAAAUAGACAAACGUAUAAAUAGAGAAAGA